UAAUGUACACAAACACACUUGGUCUCCCCAGUUCGUUGACUAUCUACAACCCACUCCAUAAAGGGUUUGGUUUGGUGAUUUCCUCUUAAUUAUUUUGGGUUUUUUUUCCAUUUCACCUUCAGCUUCCAACUUGGGGCUCAUCAUCAGGUGUGUCCUGGGGGGUUCUCCUCCUGAUAGCUGCAAUUGCUGGAAUUGCUAUGUAUUUCAAAAACCGUCAAGAUGGAUACAAAGCAGCUGCAGCAAGUGAACAAGGAUCCAACAGCUCUGGGAGAGGUAUGUGUUAAGUGAUCCCCACCUCCAAGAAAACAACACUUGCAAGUCAAAGAGAGAUUCCCUACCAAGUCAAUACUAUUGUUUGAUCCCCACGUUUCCCCCGUCAUUUAUCUCCCAACCUUUACCAAAGUUCAGGUGAGGGAAGCCCUCCCUCGGCUCUGGAUUCCCCCACUGUCCCAUUGAGAGCAAUGGCCCAGUCUUGGAGACUGAAAGGCACAACCUGGUUCCCAUCAGGCACCACAGAGCCAAAGACUGCCUGGACUCUGGAAUUGCAGCCA
rnacentral:lncRNA from 1 species